rnacentral:sRNA from 1 species
GCUAGGCGUGGGGGCACACGUCUGUAAUCCCAGCCGCUUAGGAGGCUGAGUCAGGAGGAUUGAGAGUUCAAAUCCAGCCUCAGCAACUUAGCGAGGCCCUAAGCAACUCAGACCCUGUCUCUA